rnacentral:rRNA from 1 species
UCCUACGGGAGGCAGCAGUGGGGAAUUUUGGACAAUGGGCGAAAGCCUGAUCCAGCAAUGCCGCGUGCAGGACGAAGGCCUUCGGGUUGUAAACUGCUUUUGUACGGAACGAAACGGUCUCCUCUAAUACGGGGGGCUAAUGACGGUACCGUAAGAAUAAGCACCGGCUAACUACGUGCCAGCAGCCGCGGUAAUAAU